CCUUGACAGCAAGGAAUCGCACCCCACACUUUAGACAUGGAGAGGCAGAGGUCUUAAGUUGUAAGUAAUACUGUGUCAGUUCACUAACACUGCAUUCAAAUAUUACAGGUUUACCCAUAUAUCCAAAAUACUGUUACAUAACAUGCGUUAUCUUUCACAACAAUUUAAGUUCUAAAACUGACCGUGUUUAACUCAUUAACCUAUUAAACUAAAUUUUGUACAACCAAAUCUGCAGAGUAAAAGAGUUUUACUUCCUUCUACUGUCAUUUAACAUGUUCAAACUAAUAUAUUGUUGUGGUGUUCCCCUCUUUAGCAUCAUCCCACACUGGUUUCAGUAAAAGUUGGUACUGACUUUUUUCUUUUUUUUUUUUUUUUACACAGUAAUGCAUUUUUUUUUUCAUAGCGUUUUCUUUUUUUUAUAGCUUGGAUAUGCAAAAUUCUUGCAAACCAAGAAAUGAUUAAAGAACAGAUGGGAACAUUGGUUAAAUUGGUCUACGACUUCAAAAAAUUAUCAACUACAGAAGACAGCCCAACAUUAAACACAGACUGUUUUCCACUGUCAAGUUUUCAACAACUUCAAGUCAUGGAGGGGCAGCUGCAGCACGCCGUUCGUGGCUCGAUUAGUCCCCCAAUCAACUGUGGGAAAUAGGACUUGCACAGAAUCCAGUCAAUGUUUCAUGUGACAUGGAGGACCUCAACAUUUUGGUGCAAGAUGGCAUUUACCCAUUGGAGGAGCAGAACACUGGAGUAGUGGUCCCUCAGGUGGAGUGUCUGCUCUCAGAGUAUGAAAUGGCUCGACUCAGGACAACCAUUAGUCCAGUCUCACAGUCCAGAGACUUUGGCCAAGAUAUUUACUUAUCAGUGUUAAAUUUUGUGCAGCUGCUUCUUGAAUAAGACUUUGGAGCUCAAGUCAUCAUACUGUAAGUUAUGUAAAAAAAAAAAAAACACACCUGUAAAGUUUAUGGAGUCAUUUAUUGUGAAAUUGAUCAGUUUACACUUCACAGAGAUUAAACAAAGGAUUGAAUUAUUUUUGUAAACUUUAAAAUAUAUAUUUUAUUUUAAAGCUAACAAAAAUAAUUAAAUUCUUUGUUUAAUCUCUGUGUAGUUAGCACUGCCAAAUAUAUAUAUGCAUGUAUUUAUGUGUAUAACUAAUGUGGUAAAUGUGACUAAACACCUUCGGUAUGAAAAUAAAACCAAACCAAUGACUUUUAAAAGUUUUUUU
ensembl:lncRNA